AAUGGGCGCAAGCCUGAUCCAGCCAUGCCGCGUGAGUGGAGAAGGCCUUCGGGUUGUAAAGCUCUUUCGGACGGAAAGAAAUCGCGCAGGCUAAUACCCUGCGCGGAUGACGGUACCGUCAUAAGAAGCACCGGCUAACUACGUGCCAGCAGCCGCGGUAAUACGUAGGGUGCGAGCGUUAAUCNGAAUUACUGGGCGGAAAGCGUGCGCAGGCGGUUUUGUAAGACAGGCGUGAAAUCCCCGGGCUCAACCUGGGAACUGCGCUUGUGACUGCAAGACUAGAGUACGGCAGAGGGGGGUGGAAUUCCACGUGUAGCAGUGAAAUGCGUAGAGAUGUGGAGGAACACCAAUGGCGAAGGCAGCCCCCUGGGUCGAUACUGACGCUCAUGCACGAAAGCGUGGGGAGCAAA
rnacentral:rRNA from 1 species